rnacentral:tRNA from 1 species
GCCUUUGUGGCGUAGUGGUCAGUCCGCUUGACGAGUAAUCGAGAGGUCCGUGGUUCGAUUCCUGGCGAAGGCG